rnacentral:rRNA from 1 species
GACGAACGCUGGCGGCGUGCUUAACACAUGCAAGUCGAGCGGUAAGGCCCUUUCGGGGGUACGACGAGCGGCGAACGGGUGAGUAACACGUGGGUGACCUGCCCUUAGCUCUGGGAUAAGCCUGGGAAACUGGGUCUAAUACCGGAUAUGACUCCAUGACGCAUGUUGUGGGGUGGAAAGCCUUGUGCGGCUACGGAUGGGCCCGCGGCCUAUCAGCUUGUUGGUGGGUGAUGGCCUACCAAGGCGACGACGGGUAGCCGGCCUGAGAGGGCGACCGGCCACACUGGGACUGAGACACGGCCCAGACUCCUACGGGAGGCAGCAGUGGGGAAUCUUGCGCAAUGGGCGAAAGCCUGAACGCAGCGACGCCGCGUGAGGGAUGACGGCCU